rnacentral:rRNA from 1 species
UUGCACGCUGGCGGCAGGCCUCACACAUGCAAGUCGAACGGUAACAGGAAGAAGCUUGCUUCUUUGCUGACGAGUGGCGGACGGGUGAGUAAUGUCUGGGAAACUGCCUGAUGGAGGGGGAUAACUACUGGAAACGGUAGCUAAUACCGCAUAACGUCGCAAGACCAAAGAGGGGGACCUUCGGGCCUCUUGCCAUCGGAUGUGCCCAGAUGGGAUUAGCUAGUAGGUGGGGUAACGGCUCACCUAGGCGACGAUCCCUAGCUGGUCUGAGAGGAUGACCAGCCACACUGGAACUGAGACACGGUCCAGACUCCUACGGGAGGCAGCAGUGGGGAAUAUUGCACAAUGGGCGCAAGCCUGAUGCAGCCAUGCCGCGUGUAUGAAGAAGGCCUUCGGGUUGUAAAGUACUUUCAGCGGGGAGGAAGGGAGUAAAGUUAAUACCUUUACUCAUUGACGUUACCCGCAGAAGAAGCACCGGCUAACUCCGUG